GGCUGGGUGCUGGAACUGGUAGACAGUUACGUCUCAAAAACGUAUGGGAUUUACUCCCGUGAGGGUUCGACUCCCUCCCCAGCCA
rfam:Microgenomates (Curtissbacteria) bacterium GW2011_GWA1_41_11 TT34_C0008, whole genome shotgun sequence.